GACGAACGCUGGCGGCGUGCCUAAUACAUGCAAGUCGAGCGAAGUUUUUCUGGUGCCUGCACUAGAAAAACUUAGCGGCGAACGGGUGAGUAACACGUAAAGAACCUGCCUCAUAGACUGGGACAACUAUUGGAAACGAUAGCUAAUACCGGAUAACAGCAUUAACUGCAUGGUUGAUGUUUGAAAGUUGGUUUUGCUAACACUAUGAGAUGGCUUUGCGGUGCAUAGCUAGUUGGUGGGGUAAAGGCCUACCAAGGCGACGAUGCAUAGCCGACCUGAGAGGGUGAUCGGCCACACUGGGACUGAGACACGGCCCAGACUCCUACGGGAGGCAGCAGUAGGGAAUCUUCCGCAAUGGGCGAAAGCCUGACGGAGCAACGCCGCGUGAGUGAAGAAGGAUUUCGGUUCGUAAAGCUCUGUUGUUAGGGAAGAAUGAUUAUGUAGUAACUAUACAUA
rnacentral:rRNA from 1 species